UGGACCAAGUCUUUGUCCUAUGCAACCUGCUCAGGAAUAUCAGAUCUCCACAGAUAGCCCAAGAGAAUCUCACCAUGUCAAGAUCUCUAUUUUUCUCACUUUUUCUAGAAUUCAAUCAGUGCUGUCUCUCUGUGCAUGGGUGUAGGGUGAUGCACUGAAACAUGGACAAUUAGUGGUCACAAUCCAAGAGGACAGUGACUCUUCUCUUACCAGCCACAAACUGCCAAUAGCUCCUCAGCUAGAGGUUGAUAUGGAGGAUAGAGAGACUUGUUGGACAAGACCAUUGAUGUCUUUUCUUUCCACGGGACCUAUAUAGCACCUUCUGUCACAAUUAAGACCAACCAGCAUGAAAGAAGUUUUCUAUCAGUUUGAGAUUGAUUUCUUUAUGUCCUUGCAAUGAAGAUUUAUAAAGAGUCGUAGAACAUUUGAUCAAACAAGGAAGUUGCAGAUACCUUUGCCCAGUUCCCACUAUCAAGAUGAAGUCAUGGCGAUUCAGAGACUGGAAGUGGCUUCCUGGAGAUUGUCCAGCAAGUUAACACCAACACACAGCAGCCAAGUGUUGAGGAAGAACAUAGAACAAAGGGUGCGAUUUGAGGAAAUGACACCAUCUAGGACAUAAGAGCUGUGUUACAGAUGGCACAUGGCAGACAAUGCCCUGUGCUAAAUAUCAAGGUUUUCCUGAAUUCCUUGAACCCAAGAGAGAAACUGUGUGAGACAUGUCAAUACAGAAUGCCAACAGCUCAUGUGGUCUUGUCACUUCAAAAUUCACCUCGCUCCCUCCCUGAAAAAGCAUCCCUUCUUUUUCUCCCAUGCAUCGUUUUGACUCUCACGGCUGAGAAACAAACCACAUCUUCCCUUCCUGCAAAGGAAAACUGAUGGUCUUUUAUCUUUGGCAAGUACUCACAUUACAUGUUUAUCGACAUUUAAGAGUUCUUUCUCACAGCACCUCUCUCUGCGGCUACGAAGUAUGUGUCUUUCACUUGAAGGAACAUCAAAGAGGUAUUUCGGUAUAAAACUCACUGAGUUUUUUCUUAACUAUGUUUUGUCAUGAGACCAUAUGGCCAUAAAUGAUUUAGUUUUCCAUGAAAAAUGGUUUUAAAUCAAGAAUGAAACCUGCUAAAAAGAAUUUGCAU